rnacentral:lncRNA from 1 species
UAUCUCCCUCCACACUGUGCUGCCUGGGCUUGAUGUAGGGGUGAUGUAAGGAAUGUCAAGCUGUCCUUCCUAUCCUAUUCGAUAGUCUGUUUUACUCUGAUGCUUUUCUGAAAGCUCUUGCAGUCCGCUACAAGCCAGAGUGCUUCAUCUUUAACAAAAUGUGACUAUCUCUGUGACCCAUGGAAAGAACAAUAACAGGUAAUCCGGGGUACAAGCAUC